rnacentral:rRNA from 1 species
GAUGAACGCUGGCGGCGUGCCUAAUACAUGCAAGUCGAGCGAACAGACGAGGAGCUUGCUCCUCUGACGUUAGCGGCGGACGGGUGAGUAACACGUGGAUAACCUACCUAUAAGACUGGGAGAACUUCGGGAAACCGGAGCUAAUACCGGAUAAUAUAUUGAACCGCAUGAUUCAAUAGUGAAAGACGGUUUUGCUGUCACUUAUAGACGGAUCCGCGCCGCAUUAGCUAGUUGGUAAGGUAACGGCUUACCAAGGCAACGAUGCGUAGCCGACCUGAGAGGGUGAUCGGCCACACUGGAACUGAGACACGGUCCAGACUCCUACGGGAGGCAGCAGUAGGGAAUCUUCCGCAAUGGGCGAAAGCCUGACGGAGCAACGCCGCGUGAGUGAUGAAGGUCUUCGGAUCGUAAAACUCUGUUAUUAGGGAAGAACAAAUGUGUAAGUAACUAUGCACGUCUUGACGGUACCUAAUCAGAAAGCCCCGGCUAACUACGUG